rnacentral:autocatalytically_spliced_intron from 2 species
UUAUGGAUAUUAUUAAACCUUUUGUUGCGCCAUCAAUGAAAUAUAAGUUAGUUAUGACCCCGUAGAGACUGAAGCGCAAGCUGAGAGUGUUUCAAAUGAGAAACGCUAAUACGCCAACUCCUAACUGCGAGUGAUUAUCGCAGAAGGAAGAAGAUAUAGUCCAUACCAUUAGUAAUAAUGGA